AAACCAACUGGGAUUACCUUAGUAACGGCGAGUGAAGCGGUAAAAGCUCAAAAUUUGAAAUCUGGUACUUUCAGUGCCCGAGUUGUAAUUUGUAGAAUUUGUCUUUGAUUAGGUCCUUGUCUAUGUUCCUUGGAACAGGACGUCAUAGAGGGUGAGAAUCCCGUUUGGCGAGGAUACCUUUUCUCUGUAAGACUUUUUCGAAGAGUCGAGUUGUUUGGGAAUGCAGCUCAAAGUGGGUGGUAAAUUCCAUCUAAAGCUAAAUAUUGGCGAGAGACCGAUAGCGAACAAGUACAGUGAUGGAAAGAUGAAAAGAACUUUGAAAAGAGAGUGAAAAAGUACGUGAAAUUGUUGAAAGGGAAGGGCAUUUGAUCAGACAUGGUGUUUUUGCAUGCACUCGCCUCUCGUGGGCUUGGGCCUCUCAAAAAUUUCACUGGGCCAACAUCAGUUCUGGCAGCAGGAUAAAUCAUUAAGAAUGUAGCUACCUCGGUAGUGUUAUAGCUUAUUGGAAUACUGCU
rnacentral:rRNA from 1 species